CUAUUAUUUUGAGUGUUAAUUUUGUUUACCUGGGUAGUAUUAGUUAUGAUCUUUAAACCUAAAGAAUUUGGCGGUAUCUUAUUCCAUUUAGAGGAAUCUGCCCCGUGAUUGAUAAUGCACGAUUAACUUUACUUAAUUUAUUUGUUUGUAUAUCUCCGUUAUAAGAAAAUCUUUUUGGAGUUAUAAUUUUCUUGAUUUAUAAUUAUAGAAUAUUUCAGGUCAAGUUGCAGCUUAUGAUUAAGAGGAGGUGGAUUACAAUAAAUUUUAAUUUAUUAUGGAUUUAAUAUUGAAAUAUUAUUAAUGAAGGUGGAUUUAAUAGUAAUUUAAAUUAUUUAAUUUAAUUGAUAUUGGCUCUAAGAUGUGUACACAUCGCCCC
rnacentral:rRNA from 1 species